GCGACAUCAGUUAAGCGAGAUUA
rnacentral:rRNA from 1 species